rnacentral:lncRNA from 1 species
GGUCCGACAUUUCAGCGCGAGGAAGGACCAGGACGGACACAACGCGAGAUCAUUGCUGCGGCACUUCAGCUGUCGGUCCAUUCGCCGGGUGCAGCGUUAGCGUAUUACGACUCUACCAAAGACAAGUUGCUACUGACCAAAUCGAUAUUUUUACUGUGCCAGCAACCCUAACUCCACGCGGCCAAGACGUUCCUUAAUAAUCUCUACAGGCCGAGAACUUUCCAGACUGCGCUCAUACAAUGAACAGCCGGCUCACCCCACUUGGGGCUCGUAACGCCCCACUUGUCUCAACUAAUCAAUAUCCUCGCGCAUGGCACACGCUCGACUACAAGGUCCGACAUCUCAGCGCGAGAAAGGGCCAGGACGGACACAACGCGAGAUCAUUGCCGCGGCACUUCAGCUGUCGGUCCAUUCGCCGGGUGCCGCGUUAGCGUAUUACGACUCUACCAAAGACAAGUUGCUAGUGACCAAAUCGAUAUCUUUACUGUGCCAGCAACCCUACCUCCACGCGGCCAAGACGUUCAUCAAUAAUCUCUACAGGCCGAUAACUUUCCAGACUGCGCUCGUACAAUGAACAGCCGGCUCACCCCACGUGGCGCUCGUAACGCCCACUUGUUUCAAUUAAUCAAUAUCCUCGCGCAUGACACGCGCUCGACUACAAGGUCCGACAUCUCAGCGCGAGGAAGGGCCAGGACGGACACAACGCGAGAUCAGUGCCGCGGCACUUCAGCUGUCGGUCCAUUCGCCGGGAGCCGCGUUAGCGUAUUACGACUCUAUCAAAGACAAGUUGCUAGUGACCACAUCGAUAUCUUUACUGUGCCAGCAACCCUACCUCCACGCGGCCAAGACGUUCCUCAAUAAUCUCUACAGGCCGAGAACUUUCCAGACUGCGCUCGUACAAUGAACAGCCGGCUCACCCCACUUGGCGCUCGUAACGCCCCACUUGUCUCAAUUAAUCAACAUCCUCGCGCAUGACACACGCUCGACUACAAGGUCCGACAUCUCAGCGCGAGGAAGGCCCAGGACGGACACAACGCGAGAUCAUUGCCGCGGCACUUCAGCUGUCGGUGCUGCAUUCGUCGGGUGCUGCGUUAGUGUAUUACGACUCUACCAAAGAUAAGUUGCUAGUGACCAAAUCGAUAUCUUUACUGUGCCAGCAACCCUACCUCCACGCGGCCAAGACGUUCCUCAAUAAUCUCUACAGAUCCGCAACAGAACGCGGCUGACUGUUUCUACUGUGUAUCGGUGAGUCAGAGAAGAAAAGACAUUUUUAUGGGUAUUUGCAAUACCUCGAGAAGAUUAAUGCAAUUUAAUUAUACUUCUUUUUACACGUUGCUCGAAAUAAUCAGGAGAUCGUAUCUUUGAAUGACCGUAUUACACAACAGAAUCUUUAAAAUAUAAUAUAUAUUUUCCUCUUUUAUAUUUACUCUGAAUCAUUAGAAGAUGCAGAUAUAAAUGCUUUAUCUUUUUUUCGCGAGAAGUGUCACAGAGCCGAGUUAGGGUCUUUUUAUUCAUCGCAAAGCGCCGUGCUUUCGAUAACUUUAUAAAAUUUGCCGUUUGUCGGAGGGCGAAAGAGAGGGGGCAGGUUGACUGAUCGCGUGGAGGACUGUUUUGUCGUUAGCCGAAGAAAUAGUGAAUCGAGGAACAUGACCGAACCGCGCACGGGACAAGUUCAAUUUUCCUGUCGACGCUCGCGCUAAGCCCAUCGUGUUA